rnacentral:rRNA from 1 species
UACGUAGGGUCCUAGCGUUGUCCGGAUUUAUUGGGCGUAAAGCGAGCGCAGGCGGUUCCUUAAGUCUGAUGUGAAAGCCCCCGGCUCAACCGGGGAAGGUCAUUGGAAACUGUUCAGCUUGAAUGCAGAAGAGGUAAGUGGAAUUCCAUGUGUAGCGGUGAAAUGCGUAGAUAUAUGGAGGAACACCAGUGGCGAAGGCGACUUACUGGGCUGUGAUUGACGCUGAGGCGCGAAAGCGUGGGUAGCGAACAGG